rnacentral:pre_miRNA from 1 species
GAGAGGUCCCUGCCCUCAGCCGUUUAGCUAUUUAAACGUCAUCCCAUCAGACGGUUAAAACUAUUCUGAAUUCUGAACAUUCUGGUGCUAAAGGGAAUGAGGGUAGUCAUCCCUCUCAU